GGACGAACGCUGGCGGCGUGCUUAACACAUGCAAGUCGAACGGAAAGGCCCUGCUUUGUGGGGUGCUCGAGUGGCGAACGGGUGAGUAACACGUGAGUAACCUGCCCUUGACUUUGGGAUAACUUCAGGAAACUGGGGCUAAUACCGGAUAGGAGCUCCUGCUGCAUGGUGGGGGUUGGAAAGUUUCGGCGGUUGGGGAUGGACUCGCGGCUUAUCAGCUUGUUGGUGGGGUAGUGGCUUACCAAGGCUUUGACGGGUAGCCGGCCUGAGAGGGUGACCGGCCACAUUGGGACUGAGAUACGGCCCAGACUCCUACGGGAGGCAGCAGUGGGGAAUAUUGCACAAUGGGCGGAAGCCUGAUGCAGCAACGCCGCGUGCGGGAUGACGGCCUUCGGGUUGUAAACCGCUUUCGCCUGUGACGAAGCGUGAGUGACGGUAAUGGGUAAAGAAGCACCGGCUAACUACGUGCCAGCCGCCGC
rnacentral:rRNA from 1 species